UGUGCUUAGCUGAUUUUCUGUUCACCAUCCUCUCUCCAAAAGGUUAAACAUUUGAAACAAGAAAUUUCCUCUAACAGUUAUUCAAUCCUUCGACACACAUUUACGGAGCCCACACUCUGUGCUGAUUUGGACCGGACCCUGGGGAUGCAGUGGAAACCCAUAUAGACCUGGUGCCCUGCCCUGCCCUGCCCUGCCCUGCAGAUCUUACCCAGUGAAUCUGCAUACCCAGAUUUCCUUGUGGGGCGCAGGCACUGACUGAAGCACUGGCCUCCAGAACUCAUGUCUGCUCACAGGGUUCAUCCACGAGGCCAGGGCUCAAGUAUGAUUGCAGAUUCCCGGGACCAGCCCAGCAGCCAGCAUCAGAGAUGCUCACCUCACUCUCUCUCCAUCCCUCACUGCCUCAACCUCCUCCACAAACCUUCCAGGAGAAGAGCCUUCACCCCGUACAA